rnacentral:rRNA from 2 species
UGGGGAAUAUUGCACAAUGGGGGAAACCCUGAUGCAGCGACGCCGCGUGAACGAAGAAGGUAUUCGUAUCGUAAAGUUCUGUCCUAUGGGAAGAUAAUGACAGUACCAUAGAAGAAAGCUCCGGCUAAAUACGUGCCAGCAGCCGCGGUAAUACGUAUGGAGCGAGCGUUGUCCGGAAUUAUUGGGCGUAAAGGGUACGCAGGCGGUUUAAUAAGUCGAAUGUUAAAGAUCGGGGCUCAACCCCGUAAAGCAUUGGAAACUGAUAAACUUGAGUAGUGGAGAGGAAAGUGGAAUUCCUAGUGUAGUGGUGAAAUACAUAGAUAUUAGGAGGAAUACCAGUAGCGAAGGCGACUUUCUGGACACAAACUGACGCUGAGGUACGAAAGCGUGGGGAGCAAACAGG